rnacentral:rRNA from 1 species
UAAGUCGGAGGUGAAAUCCCACAGCUCAACUGUGGAACCGCCUUUGAUACUGGUAGUCUUGAGUUAUAUGGAAGUAGAUAGAAUGUGUAGUGUAGCGGUGAAAUGCAUAGAUAUUACAUAGAAUACCGAUUGCGAAGGCAGNUUACUACUUAUAUACUGACGCUGAUGGACGAAAGCGUGGGGAGCGAACAGGAUUAGAUACCCUGGUAGUCCACGCCGUAAA